GCAAUUCACAAGGAUAAUAACAAAAAAAUAAUAAAUACUAAAUAUAAAAUUAGGUGUUUUACAACGCCUAUCGACCACCUCCUAGUCCACCGUUUUUACGAUUCUUUCAUCACCUCUAUCACUACAUCUUAUAUUUUCAACCAAAUCCACCACUAUCACCUCCUAAACAAUUGGUUUUGAUCGAUUUCACCAGAUUCAAUUGCGAAACUCAAAUUUAGUGAUGAAUCAAAGAGAAACUAAUCUCCUUAACCUGAUCCCGAGCACCAGAUUCGUUAGUUUCACUCCGAUUUUCAAUUGAAUUGUGCAUGAUUUCAUUUUUAAACCCUAAUUUUGGGUUUCAAAUUUGUAUUUUUUUAGAUGAUUAUGAUGACGACGGUGGUGGUGGCGGCGGAAAAUUAUGCUCUAAUGAUAAUGGUGGCGGCAAUCGAAGAGGAUAUCGAAUUUAUGUUCUAUUAAUUGACGAUGGUGGAGGUACUGGUACUUCAAGUUGCUUGUUAAGCGAUCAAAUUCCAGGCUGGUGUGGUGUUACGGUGGAUUGUGUUGAAUGGUUAGUAUGAACGGUGGUGGAUAUUGCUGGUGGUGGGAGCUCUCUAAGUGUAGAUUAUAUACUUGGUUAAUGUUAGUUCUGUUUUCUUUUUGAUUAGUUGGGACUUGAGAACUAGUGAUAAGAGCAUAAAUCUAGUGAAAAGGCUUGAGAUGAUAAUUGGACUUGAUUUUUAUUAUGGUGGUGUGUGGUGGUGGGGCAGUAGUAUGUAUGGUGGUGGGGUAGUAGCAUGUGUGGUAGUGGGGGUGGUUGGUGUUGUGUUUUUGGUAGUGUUAAUUGGAUUACAGUUCCUUCUUUGUUUGAUUUUAAACGGUGAUGGAAGAGGUAGAAUGUAGUGGAUUGCAAGUAAUACUAACAGUUCCUAUGUAUAUGCAUUUUUCUGUAAUGGUAAUUGGCAGAGUGGGAAGACCAAUAGGAAACUAAUAAAGUUGAGCAGCAGUGGGAAGAUAUGGAUUGUAGUUGGAACAAAUGAGACGGGAAUGUUUAUGAAUGAAGAGAGUGAAACCGAGGUACAUGAGCUUGCAGGUGAUAGAGGGAGUAAAUUUGUGUUUCCACCACAAUAGAGUUGUCCUCGGCUAGUCCACAGUGGUGGCGGCAGCAACGAAGGGGGCGACAGCGGCAGUGGGUGCGACGACGGCGGUGGUGGCGGCGACGGUGUAGUAGUGGUGGUCCUGGCGCGUGGUGGCGUUGGCGGACUGGCGGUGGUGGCGGCGGUGGCGA